GAUGAACGCUGACAGCAUGCUUAACACAUGCAAGUCCACUUGACUGUCGGGGUUUUUCUUAGGUUUGGGUGGCGGACGGGUGAGUAACGCGUAAAUAACUUGCCUCACAGCUAGGGAGAAAAUUUGGAAACGAAUGCUAAUACCUAAUAUUAUGUUAAUAGAGCAUCCUAUAUUUAUGAAAGCUAUAGGCGCUGUUAUAGAUUUUUGAGUCACAUUAGCUAGUUGGAGAGGUAACGGAUCACCAAGGCGAUGAUGGGUAGCCGGCCUGAGAGGGUGACCGGCUACAAGCGGAUAGAGACAGGGCCAGUACUCAUACGUGCGGCAGCAGUGGAGAAUAUUGGAAGAAGGACCACGAGUGUGAUGAAGCAAUUCUGUGUGUACGAUGCAGUUUUUCGGGAUGUAAAGUGGUUUCAGUUGGGAAGAACGACUUGACGGUACCAACAGAAGAAGUGACGGCUAAAUACGUG
rnacentral:rRNA from 1 species